rnacentral:lncRNA from 1 species
AGUUCUCACUGCAAGCUUCCCCCAGCAGAUAAUGGGAGUAUUUUCAGUUGGCAAUGAAAUAAUUACUGUAACUGCAAUAAGUAAAUAAAUAAAAUAUGCCCAGUUUUGGUACUUACUGUACAGCAGGACUGCUGCCCUGAGUAAAAAUGCACAUAUCUGUAAGGUGAUCCUACCUUUUCUUCUCAUUUCCAGGUUUCAAAUUCUGUAUCUGGGAGAUUGGUUUUGACUCUGAUCUUGGGUCCCUGCUUUUAGUGCCAUCUAGUGAUAGCAAGAAAUGCUUGCUGCUGCUGCUUUUUUAGUUCAAUUCUUACUGACACUGAAAUGGAAUACCUGCUUUACCUCCAGAUAUUGGAGCAGAGAUCUGAGGAACAAUUCCUUGAGCACUGGUUGAAUCCACACUGCUAUCCACAUUGCAACAGGAACUUAGUGCAUCCAGUGUAAAAAGUGCAGUUUUUCCCAAAAUGGCUCAACAGCCAACGGCAUGGGCCAGUCAGGGACCAGAGGCAGCAAGUACCUCCAGAUGCAGAGGGGACAGACGCAGAAUGCCUCUCAAGGCCAUUUGAAG